AUUCCAAUAAUCCACUAAAACAAGGAUUGAAAC
rnacentral:other from 1 species